rnacentral:rRNA from 1 species
UACGGAGGGUGCAAGCGUUGUUCGGAAUUAUUGGGCGUAAAGCGCGUGCAGGCGGUUGCUUAAGUCUGAUGUGAAAGCCCUGGGCUCAACCCGGGAAGUGCAUUGGAAACUGGGCAACUUGAGUACGGGAGAGGAUAGUGGAAUUCCUAGUGUAGGAGUGAAAUCCGUAGAUAUUAGGAGGAACACCGGUGGCGAAGGCGGCUACCUGGACCGAUAUUGACGCUGAGGUGCGAAAGCGUGGGGAGCAAACAGGAUUAGAAACCCCGGUAGU